GGCUGCUCCGCGAGAUCCUGCAAGGUAAGUGAAGUUACUGUUACAUUGAACUUUAUAUAGUUAGGUCUUCACUGGAGCACUGACACUUAGAACAUUUAGGGUUAACGUGAGGGUUAAAAUUAGAGUUAGGAACUAAUUCAGUCUCGCUAUAUUCUUCUUCUGACUUUAACCCUACAAUAAAGGUUAAAAUUAAAGAAACACUCUGGGCAACAUAACAG